rnacentral:sRNA from 1 species
GACGCGCUAGGACCCGCUGUGUCCUCGCGCACGCGCUCCCAUGCUUGCCCCCUUAGGGUGUAGUCUUUCGAGGUCAUCCCUGGACUUAAGGAAACCCACCUUCACCUCCGCCCGGCUCAUCCUGUUUCUAAUGGUACUUCUCUAUCCAAUCAAGAUUAAUGAAGACAAGACUCAACAAUGUAAAAGACUACUGAGGCAUGCAAGCACAUGGAAACAUCUAAAAGGGCAUAUAAGCCAGAAGCCCUGAGAUCCUGGUACCCAGAGGACAGUCUGCAGGAUGGAACUGGUGGCCUGAUGCUUUGUAACAUCCUGAUGGGUACGUGAGGCUGCUCAUGAGAUACCUAAAUGCACCUAAUAUCUACAUAGGUAAACAGAUGGAUCUGGGAACAAUCAUCCCUAGUGAAAUAAAUCAAACCCAGAAAGACAAGCAUCACAUGCUUUCUUUCAUAUGUAGAUAUUCGCUUUGAAUCUUAAGAGUAAUUGCCCAAUGAAGGCACAGAGAUUGUGAAGGAGUGCACAAGACUUCUGUAAGCUCAAGACAGAUUAAACUCAUGGCAUGGAAAGGAAGGCAACAGCAACAUGAAGCCCGGAGAGAGACAGCUUCUACACAUAAGGAGAAUGGAAUUCCACCUCUCAAAAUGCUUCUCAGAACAUGGAAUUUCCAACGCAGAAGCUUGGACACAUUUUGAUGGCAGCAGAAAGGUGAUUUAGAAACAAAACCGAUAUCAUAUACAAAGAAAUAGCUAUGAUCUACAUUGAUACUACCAUGACACAGAAUAUACCUGGCUUUACAAGCAUGGUUUUUGCAGGUGAUUAAUUAUAAUCUACUUACCAAUCAU